ensembl:lncRNA
CACUGUCCAGGUGGAAGGAUCAUACGAGGACAUGCGGUCGGAGAUCUACGGGGGAUUGGAAAAGUCCGGACUGCUCCAGAUGAGGUGCAAAUGUUCGGUUUGUUUGAUUCGACACCGGUAUGAAAGCAAGGACUUUCUCCCGAUGGUGAAUAAAUCGUCUUAGACUUGCUUCAAACUUUCACUCUUUUAAAUUGCCCUCGACAAUAUCCUUUUUUCCUCUGCGUUCCAGAGUUUGCGCUCCCCUGGUCCACAGCUUGAUGGUGGGUCAUAAACCACUUAGAUUUGUAGAGAAUGGGACAAAGACGGUGAACUUAACACCGGACUGCUUUACAAGCCUCACAAAAGCUUGCAGUCUGUGCGUCGGCACCUUGCAACCCUCGACUCGCUCUCGAGAGGUUAAAUAACGAGGGUUUCUUCUCAUCCUCUUGUGUGGAAUAUCUGUGCUGUGUGGCUCAUUUUAACUGGAAAGUUAUGUGUGUACAUUUACACUGGAUGCAGCAUUAUUUGCUCUCGGGGCCUCCAAGCCAAUCAUGUUUCCGUGUACGAGACCCAUCGGUCUACUUUCUCCUCGCUGUGUCUCAGCCUUCUUCUCUUUCACACGUUCAUAAACCCACUCCAACACCAACAAACACGGCAGCUUUCAGGCAGACAAUGGGGUUUUUUUUUUUCUUCUUUUUCACGCCAAAAGUCACACUGCGGCGACAACAGUUUCUCUGUUUGAGGUGUUAGUUUCAUGAGUUUUACAGUGCGUUUACCUCACUCGCAUGACGAGACGUCGAGGGAGCUUUGCCGCUAUGUUUUUCUGCACCAAUUCAACGUGUAAAAAUGUUUUCUCCGUUUGUGCUCCUGGUGUUUUUUGGGGGUGAUUUCUUAACUAACGUCAACAGUUUGUCAAUUGUGGUUCUGCUGAAACGAAACAGGGCUCUGUUUCGCUGACAUUCACGCGACAAGUGACAAUUUACCAUUUGUAUUCCUCUCGAGGUUUUUCUAAUGUGCGAUUUUGUCAACCCCUCCGAGCACCUAAAUUAAGCCAUUUGUUUGGUACGUAAAAUGUCUCUUUGCUCAGCAUGGCUGGUCUUAUUUAUGCUCACCACAAUAAUUAACUAUCUCUGUUCUUUAUAGAACAAUGAAUUGGAGAUUUAGCACUGCAGAUUAGCCUCAUCCCUGAUUGGUAAUGAGUAGCAUUUAACUGUGUUACAGCUCGUAGCAAACGGCGCCUUUAAUACCAUCUCCUUUGUCUCUGUUUUUGUGUUUGUCGAGUAUCCAUCGAUCAACCUCAGUAACUCUCUGUAUCUUUCUCUCUGUAUUCAAUUAAACGUGCUGUACCGGCUUCACCUUCGGGCCUUGCCUGGAGCCUGAAGGUGAAGCUUGAGAUGUACUCGCCGAUCUACGCUCCACCCCUCACCUUUAUCCACAAGCUCUGGGUCCAUGACCAGGAGGAUGAAUCUGCAGAUACAAGUUGACUCGUCCCUCAAAGUCCUCGCGGCGCAGCAUUUGCAUCUGUCAGCAGAUUCUCAGUGAGGAGCGAGGAGGCCUCCAGAAGUGCUCGGGGAUGAUUAUUACAUGAGCAUCCGACGUGGAGGCUCCUUUCGCUGAACGUGAGAUCUGACGAGAUGAGACUGAUACAGCGCGCUGCCGCGGAGGCUUUGCAUCACCUCAGCAGUGCAGGGUGGCACCGGCCAGAUGACAGCACACAAUCGGGCAUGUUCAGGUGCGCAGGUGGAGGUCUUAAUGUGGGGAAUGCCGGCCAGAGUUGUGCCGUUGUGACGAUGCCCUCCCCUGGAUUACUGGAGAACGUACGGUAAUGGAUGCAGGUUGAAGGACAAACAUUUAGCUGUUAAAUUUUACCCUUGGGAUGUUUCAUUUUUAGAUGAUAUCCGGUGUUUACAACUGAGUACUGCUACUUAGUGAGCGGUGCUUUUGCUCAAUAAUUCACUCCACGUUUUCCUAUUUACAGAUUUGAGUGACUAUGGUGACUAAUAAUGUGUCUGAAUAAUUAAAAGUUAAAAGAGAAAUCAUCAAAGAGUCAUUAAGUUGAAAUAAAAGUCAUCCUUAGACAAAGUAGGCAAAAAUGAUGUCAGUGUCUUGUAUUGCAAAACAUUUUGCUCAAUUAAUGUCGUGAAUCUUGGAUUGAUAACAUUCAUCUCUCUUCCGUAACUUUUUUGGACUCAAAAUGAACAAAAUAAAUAUAUCAGGAAUAAGGAAACAUUUAUUGCCCAAAUAUAUCAAACAUACAAGGAAUUUGUCUUGGCAGUUGGUGCGUGACAGUAGACAGUGUAACAAUAGACAACAAGACAGCAGUGCACAAGUAAUAAAAUAAAGUAAAAUGAAAUGCUAAUGCAAUGGGUUAGUAGAAUAAGGCUAUGGGUUAGUAUAAAACAAGAGAAUAAAGUUAGUUAAACAUUUAAAAUAUUUAAAAAAGUAAAAAAAAAUAUUAAGCAUAAAGUGCACUAGCGAACAAGUAACAAUGUGACGAAUGACGACAAAGUGACAAGUGACGACAAAGUGAAAAAUGACAGUUAAAGUGAUGUGCGGUAUGAAGGAGAGUGACCGGUGGAGUGUUAUAGUCAGACAGUGGGAGACCGGCUCUGUUCAUGAGCCCGACUGCCGACGGGAAGAAACUGUUUGUGUGGCGGGAGGUCUGCAAAUAUAAACACCACGAAAACAAAUGCGGUAUUUAACAGUUUUUUCGGAUUCUGGUCGUUGACGUGAUGUCUGAGUCUGUGGAAUCGAAACAAAAGCAUAUAUUUUUUUAAAUGAAACAAGCAUAUUCUUUCAUUUAAUACACAACUAAGGAAAACUCACAGCCAAUGUAACGCUGCAGUAAGUGGGACCAGGGUCAAUUAAACAUUUGCUGAAUUUUGAAAGUUGUUAAUGCCUUUGCUGAUGAUGCAUCGCUGUUCUAUUGCUGUUUCUUGCAGCAUAACAAGCACAAGACUGAUGGGACUUGACUGAAGC